rnacentral:rRNA from 1 species
GGGGAGUACGGUCGCAAGACCGAAACUCAAAGGAAUUGACGGGGGCCUGCACAAGCGGUGGAGCAUGUGGUUUAAUUUGAUACAACGUGCAAAACCUUACCAGCCCUUGACAUAUGAACAACAAAACCUGUCCUUAACAGGAUGGUACUGACUUUCAUACAGGUGCUGCAUGGCUGUCGACAGCUCGUGUCAUGAGAUGUUUGGUCAAGUCCUAUAACGAGCGGAACCCUCGUUUUGUGUUGCUGAGACAUGCGCCUAAGGAGAAAUUGCCACCGAGUGACGUGCCAGCGCUACUACUUGAUUGAGUGCCAGCACGUAGCUGUGCUUUCAGCAAGAAUUUCACCAUUGGGAGCCGGUGCCUUCCGAAGCACUUUCACGUGUGAAACAAAGUCGUCUUGCCCAAGACCCACGGAGACCUACCUAUAGUGAAGUCAAAGUACCAGUGAGCAUGGAGGUUCGGUUGAAAUUGGUUACGAUGAUGUCGACUUGGCGACAUAGGAAGACUCAUCAUGAAGGCCAGAAAAUGGUGUGGAACGUAGUGGUAAUACUACGCACCCCGCUCCGAAUCAAAGAAAAAAGUGCGUGCCGCACUCACGAGGGACUGCCAGUGAGAUACUGGAGGAAGGUGGGGAUGACGUCAAGUCCGCAUGGCCCUUAUGGGCUGGGCCACACACGUGCUACAAUGGCAAUGAUAAUGGGAAGCAAGGCUGUAAGGCGGAGCGAAUCCAGAAAGAUUGCCUCAGUUCGGAUUGUUCUCUGCAACUCGGGAACAUGAAGUUGAAAUUGCUAGUAAUUGCGGAUCAGCAUGCCGUGGUGAAUAUGUACCCGGGCCCUACACACACCGCCCGUCACACCCUGGGAAUUGGUUUCGCCCGAAGCAUCGGACCAAUGAGCACCCAUGACUUCUGUGUACCACUAGUGCCACAAAGGCCUUUGAUGGUCUUAUUGGCGCAUACCACGGUGGGGUCUUCGACUGGGGUGAAGUCGUAACAAGGUAGCCGUAGGGGAACCUGUGGCUG